UACGAGGGGAGCAAGCGUUGUUCGGAUUUACUGGGCGUAAAGGGCGCGUAGGCGGUCGUGACAAGUCACUUGUGAAAUCUCCGGGCUUAACUCGGAACGGUCAAGUGAUACUGUCGUGCUAGAGUACAGAAGGGGCAACUGGAAUUCUCGGUGUAGCGGUGAAAUGCGUAGAUAUCGAGAGGAACACCUGCGGCGAAGGCGGGUUGCUGGGCUGAUACUGACGCUGAUGCGCGAAAGCCAGGGGAGCGAACGGG
rnacentral:rRNA from 1 species